UGGUGGAGUGAUUUGUCUGGUUAAUUCCGAUAACGAACGAGACCCCGUCCUACUUACUAGACCGAGGAUCCUCUCGUUCUCGCUGUCUUCUUAGAGGGACAACUGCUUAUACCUUGGACUACAUGAAAUGGGGCAAUAACA
rnacentral:rRNA from 1 species